AGUGUGAUUUGAUUGUGAGGAUGGGACACACUCUGCUCUGUAAACUGGAGUUCAUCUUAGUGCUGUAUUCACUCCUCCACAGUGGACACACUGAAGACAGAGCCAGAGCCACACUGACAGCAGCAACAACAACUGUGUCAGUAGGAGACAGAGUGACACUGAUCUGCUCUGUGGAGAAAUCUGCUGGUUGGAAAUAUGAGUGGUUCAGAAGAACCUCACACACCUCUGAAUACAGAAUGAACGAUGGACUAAAUGGAAACAUCAGAGUUUCACAAGGAGGAAUCUACAGAUGCAGAGGAUUUAGAGGAGAACCAGCCGUCUACUCUGAUCCAAGUGAUGAAGUCACCAUUCAAA